rnacentral:rRNA from 1 species
CCUACGGGGGGCUGCAGUGGGGAAUAUUGGACAAUGGGGGGAACCCUGAUCCAGCCAUGCCGCGUGUGUGAAGAAGGCCCUCGGGUUGUAAAGCACUUUCAGUGAGGAAGAACGCCUGGUGGUUAAUACCCAUCAGGAAAGACAUCACUCACAGAAGAAGCACCGGCUAACUCCGUGCCAGCAGCCGCGGUAAUACGGAGGGUGCGAGCGUUAAUCGGAAUUACUGGGCGUAAAGCGCGCGUAGGUGGCUUGAUAAGCCGGUUGUGAAAGCCCCGGGCUCAACCUGGGAACGGCAUCCGGAACUGUCAAGCUAGAGUGCAGGAGAGGAAGGUAGAAUUCCCGGUGUAGCGGUGAAAUGCGUAGAGAUCGGGAGGAAUACCAGUGGCGAAGGCGGCCUUCUGGACUGACACUGACACUGAGGUGCGAAAGCGUGGGUAGCAAACAGGAUUAUAUACCCGAGUAGUC